UAAUGUUUGAUGUUCUAACGUGGACCCGUAAUCCGGGUUGCGGACAGUGUCUGGUGGGUAGUUUGACUGGGGCGGUCUCCUCCUAAAGAGUAACGGAGGAGCACGAAGGUUGGCUAAUCCUGGUCGGACAUCAGGAGGUUAGUGCAAUGGCAUAAGCCAGCUUGACUGCGAGCGUGACGGCGCGAGCAGGUGCGAAAGCAGGUCAUAGUGAUCCGGUGGUUCUGAAUGGAAGGGCCAUCGCUCAACGGAUAAAAGGUACUCCGGGGAUAACAGGCUGAUACCGCCCAAGAGUUCAUAUCGACGGCGGUGUUUGGCACCUCGAUGUCGGCUCAUCACAUCCUGGGGCUGAAGUAGGUCCCAAGGGUAUGGCUGUUCGCCAUUUAAAGUGGUACGCGAGCUGGGUUUAGAACGUCGUGAGACAGUUCGGUCCCUAUCUGCCGUGGGCGCUGGAGAACUGAGGGGGGCUGCUCCUAGUACGAGAGGACCGGAGUGGACGCAUCACUGGUGUUCGGGUUGUCAUGCCAAUGGCACUGCCCGGUAGCUAAAUGCGGAAGAGAUAAGUGCUGAAAGCAUCUAAGCACGAAACUUGCCCCGAGAUGAGUUCUCCCUGAGACUUAAAGUCUCCUGAAGGAACGUUGAAGACGACGACGUUGAUAGGCCGGGUGUGUAAGCGCAGCGAUGCGUUGAGCUAACCGGUACUAAUGAACCGUGAGGCUUAACCUUACAACGCCGAAG
rnacentral:rRNA from 1 species